rnacentral:lncRNA from 1 species
CUGGUCGGGGGCGGAAAAAGGAAAAGAAAAGUGGGUUACUGCUAGGUUUUAUGUAUAUAUAUAUCCACGCAUACAGAGAAGAAAAUCGGGGGUGGGGGGGUGGGGGACAAUUUUCUCACAGACGAGAGCUGCUUGGGGACUGGGGAGGAAACAUCAAACAAGGUCGGCAACUGCUGAAAUAUAUAUACAAAUCGGCGGCUACAAAGGAGGAGACAAGAACAAGCAAAAGAAAAAAAAAACGAGGAGGCUGCCGGAAAUUGGUUUGUUAAUUGGAAGAACAUUACAAGCGGCUGAAUUGGAUUCUCUGACCAAAAGAAUUGCUGUCUCUGUAAUGCACACAACAAAGGAGGCUGAAUUAAUCAUAUAAAAACACAAAAAAAGAGGCAGCUUCUGGGAGAGUUCAGCAGUUUGAGGAAAUAAAGAAAAACGUGGGCUGCAACAUAUAUAUUUACACAAACAUGGGCUGCUUUUGAAGAGACAAAAAGAGGCAAAAAUUGAGGCUGCUGGUUGACAAAUAUAUACAUAUAUACACGUGCAGACUGAGAGGGAAAAAGGGAGAAUUACACAAACAGAUUUGGAAGGAAGAAAAGGCAAACACGAAGAUGACAAAGACGUGACCACGGCAGCGUCACUUUGGAAAUUAAUUACGCUUCGUCAAUUAAUCCCGGUGAUGUCUUCCAUUAUUUUAUCUUGUUUUUCUUCCAUUAUUAUGAAUAGCUAAAUUUGAUUUAGGGCGAACAAUCUAACUUAAUUGGAUUCCUUUAUUUCGUUGAAUUAAGAUUCUAGUGCUUUAAUUUUUUAUGUGUUGAUUUUAAUGUCGUGCUUAAUGCUUUUAAUUACUUGAUAACUAAUUAGAUGAUUUGUGAACAAUGAUUGCGUAGAGAUACGGAUUAUUUGAUUAGACUGCAUGUUAAAAUCCGGUAAAUUGAUAUAACGUGUAGAGAAAUCUUUAUUGAUUGUUGCGGUCGUGUGUGAAUUCUUAGAACUAAUGUUGCGUUUAAUUAAAUUUAAUUUGCAUAGAAAUAUGAAAUUGAACUAAUUAAAUAGGCUCAACGAGAACUCGAGAGGAGUAAGUUGAAAUACCACAAAAGAAUUUGACCGAACACUACUUUAGGUUGUAUGAAUCUUGAUUUAUGAAAUAAAGGUAACCAUUAGGUGAAAUUGUUCCGCCCUAAUGCCCGUUUAUUAUUUGAAUUCUCGCUUAUUUUCUGUUGCAUCCAUUUGCAUUUUUUUUUUUUUAGUAUUUAGAUAGAUUUAAAAAUCACAUUCAAUUUCUAUUUAUUUAUUUAUUUUCAUUAAAUAGAAGUUAGGAAUAAUAAAUUAACCACUAAAAUAUAGUCCUCGUGGGAACGAUAAUUCGGACUCAAAAGGUCCACUUUACUACUUGUUACGAACCGUUCACUUGUGGGAUAAAAUCGACAACAAAAACCGUUGAUAAACAAAAGCCUUUAUACUCCAUGAUUAUAUCCUCCUUGUAUAUAUAUGUCACUCUUCUUACAACUUUUGGUAUCAGAGUUCCUUAGCAUAAUGAGGUAUUUUUACAUUUGAGUUCAAACUAUAUAUAUUAUAAAUUGGUUUGAUCUACAUAAUGCUUUAGUUCAUUGAUUAUUUCUUAAUGAACUAAAUCUUGAUAUUUUGACUUGUGACAUUAAAAGAUUUGCACAUACUUCUAGUUUUAGGGGCAUUAAAUAAAUUUUACCCUUGAAAUAAGUAUUUUGAACCUAUCAUAAAUUCACUAAUUUCAAGGAACAGCUAUGGGUCAAACCAUUCUGCUGCACACCCAUUUCCUAUUUUAGCUUAGGGGUGGGGAAUAUAUAUGUGAAUCUUUUAUUUUAUACAUAUUAGCCCAGAGCAUAAUUUGAUUUAGCCCACUGUGACAUAAUUUUCUAGUUUCACUCCUAGUCGAGCUUGAUGAUAGCAUUUCAUAACAACAUAUAAAUCCUGCAUCUUUUAACAAAGUUGUAAUGUCAAAUAGAAAUGAAUAAUACCAUCUAACACUAUGGUCACACUUGAUAUGUCUGUUCAAUUAAAUGAAUCACGUGAUAUUACAAUUAAAUUAAUAUAUCAUUUAAUGUCAAUGGUGUUGAAAAGCAUUACUCAUUAAAAAUACAUAAAUAAAAUGCUGCAGUUACAUAUCCUUCUUUACAGCUGGUAAUAUCCCAAAUAAUUUUCUUUUCUUCUGUUGCAAAGCAUAAGAGGCGCAUUUUCCGUCUUCAUCUUCUUCACAAAGAAGAAGAAAAUUCAGGAAAACUGAAUCAGCAAUCUCCAGCCUUGUCUGAGAGAAAGAUGGGGCUCCCCAGCCAAUAACAAUUUUCAUAUAAUGGGAAAAAAAUAAAGGUAAAAGAGGAAAGUAAGAGCAAAUCCAACUCAAUCACAAAAACUGAUAAACCUGAGUAAGAGAAAAAAAGGGGUUAGAAAAUAAUGGAUAUAAACUAACAAAGAAAUAAAAAUAUAUUCGAUUCCUAUUCACAUUGAUGAUGAAAGUUGAAACUACACAGCCAAGAGGGAAUUUACAAAGCUAGAAAUAGAAAUAUCACACUGAACAUAAGUUGAACAUCUCUGGCUACGUCAGAAGAUCUGCCAUGUCAAACUACAGACACAGAGAUUCUGAACCAUCAAAAUCUUGUGCAGAUUUUCGUCUCUCACAUAUGAGAAGAAUACCAUCAGUUUACAUGUUUUCCGAAGAGAGGUAUAAGCUGUUUCUCCAAACCUACGAAACUGAAAGCAACAUAUAAGAGGUAAGUAUAAUUAGGCCUAUUACUUUUUGGACGAAGGAAAAAGAAUGGUAAAAUUAUGUACGUACAUCUCAUAUUUCAUCAGAGCUUCACUUAGUUUUGCUUUGUAGAGUUCACUAUCUCUAGAUACGCUGCUCAAACUAGGGCCUGUAAAUAUGACAGAGAGAAAUUUAGCCCUGUUUGUCUACCAUUAUUAAGAGAAAAUGAGUUUUUGAAUAUUGAAUUUUUGGAGAAUGUGUAGUUAAAAAGUAGGAAAAACUGUUGGGUUCAUGUGCAAAAUAUUUAUUAAGAGAAUCUAUUGAAAAUGAAUUUGAGAAAAAAAAGAGUUUUGAAAUAAUGGUAGACAAACAUGGGCUUAAUAAUUCAUGUCUAUCGUGAAGAUGAAAAUACUAAGUGAUCAAAAGUAAAAAAGAGGAUCGAUGAGAUGAGGAAUAUCAAAGCAACAAAAUUCACAGAAUUUUAAUGAUGAUCAUAUAUUGUAAACUAAAAGAGAUGUAGACUUGAAGGGGACCUUCAUAACUGAUACCUAGAGGAAAGGCCUUAGAUUAACUUCCGACCUGUUACCCGAGUGUUUUAGGGUAAACAAGACAAGAUCAGAAUUGUGAAAGAACAUAAAGAGAUUACUCCCUCUUGCUUACAGCAAAUGCAUUUAGUCGAGGGAAUUCCUUUGGUAAUAUCACAUUUUCAAACGUCAGGUCAAAAUAUUAUACUGGUGCCAUUACCCGCUGUAAACAUAGAAUCAAUUCACAAGUGUCCAAUUCCACGCAAAGUUCCACCCUGUAUGGAAAUUUGCAUACUCUGUGAUGCCAAUAUCUGACAAUAUGGCCAAACUUUUCAGCAGCCAUUGUUUUAAAAUGCUUUUCAGGGCUUAUGCCUCAAGUCCUGCCUCACAUGAGGUUUUCAUUAAAUGCCUCGAAGCUUACGUCAUGAACGCAUCUGUCAAGGAUUAUGCCGCAUUUCUGAGGCUUGCGCCCAACUUCCCGCCUCGAGGCUAAGCCUAAUGGCAGUUGAGACAUGCGCUCAUUUGUCUUGCCUUUUUUGAAAUUGUAUACUGGCUUUAGUUUUUUGGCUAUUUGUUUUAUAACCUAUAAAGUUUCAUCAUUUUUUAUGUUCUCUACUUUUUACCUUUAGAUGGAAGGGAAAGAAAAGGCACCAUUACAAGUUGAGGAUGAUGACAUACAAUGAGAAGAUAAGAGAAUACUUGUAGACCAUUUCUACUCAUGGUAGGAUUACAAUUUUUUAUGUGACUGCUAAUUUUGAACUUAUUAUUGCUACUUUAUUAAUCUAUUUUACGUUUUUAAUUUCAAGUUAAGACUUUAAAUUUUUUGUUAUGAUUUUUAAGAUGGUUUAUGGUUUAUUAGGAGCAUAUUUCUGUAUUUUUAUAUUGUUUUGAAUUAUUACAUUCCUAUGUCUUGAGGCUUACGCCUCGUAAUAGUUUGAGAUUUAUGACUCGUCUCAUAGACAUAAAAUGCAAAAGUACCUGAUUGAGCCUUUAUAAGCAUUGUUAGCAAUAAGAAUGAGCCGAUGCAACUAAGUGCAUUUAAUCAACUUAGAUUACUAUUGAAUUUUGAAUUUGAAGCAUGCAGAUUAAAUUCACUCAGAGCCUGUAAAUGCAUUUUUGGUGUGAAAUCAUAUUUGUCAAUUUUGAAUAAUGGUCCUUCUAGAGUUGUCCUACUUCUGUGUCAGCCAAUAAAUAGUUAAUCGUGAAAAUGAUUGUCUCCUGGCCUAAUGAUCAGAUCCCGUGAAUAUGAGAUGUGGCACAUCGAAACAUCACAACUAUGUAGGUAAUUGAUGAUGUCAUAAAGAAAAUGGAUUUGCCUACCAUUACAAUGAAGUGAUUCCUUCCUCUGAUCAAUCUUUCUGACUAUCAAUCCCUGUCCAAUUGAGAAUGGAUUAAAUGUAAACUACAUAUUCAUACUUAAAACAAUCAUUUAUUGCUAGAAUCCUUCGCUUGAAAUAUAAUGGUACAGCCAAACAAAAAAGUCACCAUCAAUUUCAAAGGCUGGAACCUAAUAAUGUAAGAUCAACAUAAAUCCUUGAAAUGAUGUUCUAUAUGUAUUAAAGCAUUAAUAAAAUUGAAAAAUUGGAUCUAUGUUUAACGGAUCACACUUACUAAGAAAAAGUAUUUUGUUUGGGUUCGACCUAUCGUCAUAUGUGAAAUAACGGAUGAUAUAAAUUUAGUGGAUCUUCCAAAAAAAAAAAAAAAGAAAAGAAAAAAGAAAGAGUUUGUAUCGAAGUAUACACUUCGACUUUUUUGUGCUAGAACUUUGGCUCAGAAACACAAAAGGUAUUGUACGUUCUUUUUUUGAAAAGACUUCCAAUUACGUAAAUCAAUAGUUCAAAAUAGAUUGGAACAAUGAUGUGAAAACAACAGUUUACUGCAGAGAAUUUUUUUAUUUUUUGGAAAUUUAGUUUCGUUAUUGGCGCUGAUAUUGGAAAGGAACAACAUACUUCUUANNNNNNNNNNNNNNNNNNNNNNNNNNNNNNNNNNNNNNNNNNNNNNNNNNNNNNNNNNNNNNNNNNNNNNNNNNNNNNNNNNNNNNNNNNNNNNNNNNNNNNNNNNNNNNNNNNNNNUUUCCAACCACAAAUCAACAUCACCAGAGUAAAUAUUGUAGUAUUCUUUGACAGGUCUUCCCCAACACAAAACAUGAAGAGAAUCAAAGACAGAAAGCAACCCUGAAAAGCCAACUACUGAAUUAGAUUUCUGCUUUGGCUGACACUGUGUGAAUCCAUUAGUGGUAUCUUGGUCAAGACUGCUAAACUGUUAUCAAAUGAGCUCAAACUACAAGCACAAUCAGUGCAGAAUCUUCAGACCCUAAAAUUAUUCCAGAAUGAUGCAGAAAAUUCAUAAGGAAUCUGCCAAGACUUUCAGCUUUUGUCUCUUUCUUGAAGGAACGUAACAAACUAAAAUGUUUUAACAUAGAAUUUCUUAUUAUCCCAUGUCAUGAACAUAACAAGGUUGGUCACGGACUUGAAUAUCAA